AAAAUCAUGAGUUAGGCAAAAAAAAGUGUGAAAGAGUUACUUUUGAGUUAUUAUUAUUAUUUUUUUUUUUUUAAACUCUGACUACACUUUGUGUUAUUGGAUACUCCCCGGCUGUGUUGUAUUUUGGAGUUCAUUCAUUGGUGUUCAGGAGUGUGUUUUGGUUUUAACACUAGCUACACCUGGAGUUAUUUUUGAGAAGUGCGCCACGACACGACCCUGCCGCUGGACAAAGGAAUAAUGGACUUAUGUGCCUCGUCGUGAGAUACGACUGUCCUGCAGACAAGCGGUUGAAGGUUACUCCUCCUCAAGUCUGAACCAAAUGGAUUUGCUGAAAUAAAGGCAAUAACUUAAAUCAAGAA